rnacentral:rRNA from 1 species
UCCAGACUCCUACGGGAGGCAGCAGUGGGGAAUAUUGCACAAUGGGGGAAACCCUGAUGCAGCGACGCCGCGUGAGUGAAGAAGUAUUUCGGUAUGUAAAGCUCUAUCAGCAGGGAAGAAAAAAGACGGUACCUGACUAAGAAGCCCCGGCUAACUACGUGCCAGCAGCCGCGGUAAUACGUAGGGGGCAAGCGUUAUCCGGAUUUACUGGGUGUAAAGGGAGCGUAGACGGCGCGGCAAGUCUGAAGUGAAAGGCAGGGGCUUAACCCCUGAACUGCUUUGGAAACUGCCAUGCUAGAGUGCUGGAGAGGUAAGUGGAAUUCCGAGUGUAGCGGUGAAAUGCGUAGAUAUUCGGAGGAACACCGGCGGCGAAGGCGGCCAACUGGGCUUUAACUGACGCUGAGGCUCGAAAGUGUGGGGAGCAAACAGGAUUAGAUACCCUAGUA